CAGUUGCCGCGGUAAUACGUAGGGUGCAAGCGUUAAUCGGAAUUACUGGGCGUAAAGCGUGCGCAGGCGGUUAUAUAAGACAGAUGUGAAAUCCCCGGGCUCAACCUGGGAACUGCAUUUGUGACUGUAUAGCUAGAGUACGGCAGAGGGGGAUGGAAUUCCGCGUGUAGCAGUGAAAUGCGUAGAUAUGCGGAGGAACACCGAUGGCGAAGGCAAUCCCCUGGGCCUGUACUGACGCUCAUGCACGAAAGCGUGGGGAGCAAACAGGAUUAGAUACCCGCGUAGUCCCUGUCUCUUAUAC
rnacentral:rRNA from 1 species